rnacentral:tRNA from 1 species
GCCUCCGUGGUGUAGCGGUCAGCACGCUCGACGCGUAAUCGAGAGGUCCGUGGUUCGAUUCCCGGCGGAGGCG